ACCGGGGCACAAACCCGUGACCCCUGCAUCGGCAGGCGGACUCUCAACCACUGCGACACCAGGGAAGCCCAGUAAGACUCUUGAAGAAGGUAAACAGGUGGCACAUCAGAUGCCAGAGUUAACUGACAAAGACAGUGACCACGAAAGACAGGGCCCAGAGGCUCCUUUAAAUCCCGACUGUCUCAGUAUCUCCCAUAUGGAGCCCUGGGUGAUUAUGGCAGGGGGCCACUUACUCGGUUUAAAAUACAAAACUUACUAAAUUUUGUUCUGUGUCUUAUGUUAGCAACUGGGGUGUCCGGAGAAACCCUGAAAAAGCCUUUUCUCCAGCUGCUAGACUCUCAGGUGGAGGAGGGCCCAUCUGAAGCAUAGCUUUCUGGACAAGCCUGAAUGCCCCAGUCCCCUUCCGGGAUGAGAUUUACCAACUAAAUGCCAAGGUUACCUUUGCACCUGGAGGAGUGGACACCACAAUUCCACCAGAGCAGCUUGUACAUCGCAGGCUCUAUUGCUCCGACCUCAAAGGGAACAGCCGGCAGCCAUUCUGGAAGAGGUACUGCAGAAGAAAUCCUGGCGAAAUAUUUGAAGGCCCUUCAACUAAACGAGGGAGCCCUGUUCCAGUAUGUGGAUGGUAUCGUUCUGAUUGCCAGUAAAACAAAGGACACCUGAGGCCAGAAUGCAGUUUUGAUUUUGAACUUUAUGACUGAAUGAAGCUAUAAGGUGUCCAAGAAAAGGGCGUAGUUCUCUGCCCUCUGUUAAAUACUUGGGUUUUGAACUCUCAUAAGGACAGAGAGACUUGCUCCCUGACAGAAGGGACGCUCUAGCCGGGGUUGCAGUUUCCACUAUCAGGAGGCAAUUGUGGGGAUUCCGGGGAAUAGCUGGGUUCUGCUGCAUUUCGAUCCCCAACUUUGGAUUCGUGGCAAAACCAUGUUAGGAAGCUCUUGGAGGAGAUGACCCUCUAGACUGAAAUCUUGGAAGAGUAAACAUCCGGAAGACCAGCUUCAUUGUCCCUAGACUGGACCUUGUGUGGAACGUGAUGGGAAAUGGAAACCAUACUGCAGAGGAGAACUGUCGACCGAGAUCGUCCAAGCCUUGGCUGGCUCCAGACCCCCUACACUGACCUCUCCCAGUGGGCAGGUGAACCCCUAACAGAUCUUAAGCGGCUUUUCAGAAAGAAGCCAGAAAAAGAAAUUAAGGCUUGCAAGGACAAUUCAAUGAUUAGGACUUCUCAUACUUGGGCAAAAGCAGGUACUCUCUCUAGCUGUUGGAUAUUUCAUCCAAAACCUUUUUCUGUAUUUGAUCAUGCUGACCCCUUGAUCCUGCCUGUCAUUAAUUUUUAUUUUUUUAAUUAUUUGUUUUGGCUGCACCAGGAGGCAUGUGGGAUCUUAGUUUCCCAACCAGGGAUUGAAACUGAGCCCCCUGCAUGGGAAGCAUGAAGUCUUAACCACUGGACCACCAGGGAAGUACCUGUCAUUAAUUUUUUGACUGUCCCUAACCUCACUGUAACAUAUCAGAUUAGGCUACUCAACAGAAUUUCCUGUCGUGUUUUUCCUUGUCUAAGGUGAAAUUUGGUCCUUGGGACCUCAGAUGUAAAAAAAAAAAAAGACUGUAGUCUACCCCGGUCAAGGUUAUAUUAGGUGAGGACAGAAAACAUACUUAUUUUUCCCCAGCCUGUGUUCCUUCCAUAUUUAAGUGUUUCAGCCAAACUGAUAAUGAUUGGGACUCUCCAAUAUGUAAAAAGGUAAGAUACUGAUAACUGGCUUGACCUUGUCCUAGAUAAAAUCCCUAAAA